AUGAACGCUGGCGGCGUGCCUAAUACAUGCCAGUCGAGCGAACAGACGAGGAGCUUGCUCCUCUGACGUUAGCGGCGGACGGGUGAGUAACACGUGGAUAACCUACCUAUAAGACUGGGAUAACUUCGGGAAACCGGAGCUAAUACCGGAUAAUAUAUUGAACCGCAUGGUUCAAUAGUUAAAGACGGUUUUGCUGUCACUUAUAGAUGGAUCCGCGCCGCAUUAGCUAGUUGGUAAGGUAACGGCUUACCAAGGCGACGAUGCGUAGCCGACCUGAGAGGGUGAUCGGCCACACUGGAACUGAGACACGGUCCAGACUCCUACGGGAGGCAGCAGUAGGGAAUCUUCCGCAAUGGGCGAAAGCCUGACGGAGCAACGCCGCGUGAGUGAUGAAGGUCUUCGGAUCGUAAAACUCUGUUAUUAGGGAAGAACAAAUGUGUAAGUAACUAUGCACGUCUUGACGGUACCUAAUCAGAAAGCCACGGCUAACUACGUG
rnacentral:rRNA from 1 species